CUCACACACACACACACACACACACACACACACACACACUCACUCACUUUCUCUCUCACACACACACUCACACUCUUUCACUCACUCAAACUCACACUUGCACACACACACACACAUUAAUGCUGUCACCUUUUAUUCCCACCCCAUGCACGCUUUUUACUUAGGCCUACAUUAAUUAUAGAUUUUUAGGGACAUUUUAGGGACGUUACAUAAUUUUCUCACACACAAAAACAUGGCACCUGGAGCCACAUCACAGCAGUGUACUGUUUGCUAUAAAGAGAUCGGAAGUGCCUCCAAAUCAUGUAAACAUUGUGGAAUAACAGUUAAACAAAAGAAAAGUCUGGAACACCAAAAACUUAAAUUUGAUCACCAGUGGGCAGCCAAAUUAAAAAAAAGAUGGAAAUAUUUGCAAAAUCAUGAAUUCUGUUGACUUGAUUCUCCAUAAGUUGGAAUUACUAGGUGUCUCACCAAUGCUUUUCAUUACAACACAGAAAGGCCAGCACCGCUCUACAAAAGUUUGAGUUAAAAGCUCAUACAUUCAGAGCCAUCCCUCAGUUCCAGUUAUGCAGAGGCUUUAUGAGGCUGUUACAAGAGGGAACACCUCUGCCUCUGUGUCCAACACCUCUGCCUCUGCGUCCAGUGACCCUCCGUCUGUGUCCAACACCUCUGCCUCUGCGUCCAGUGACCCUCCGUCGGUGUCCAACAC